GAGUGAUUGCUGGACCCAGACUAGAAGGAGACCAGUCUGUAAAAGAAGCUUACUCGAACAUCUCCGAGGGUGAGAUUUCCUCUGUAAUCACUUUCUUACUGUAUUAGGUUUAGACUUGCGUGUUUUAUUUUAUUUUGUUUGGUAAUUUACUUUGUUCUGUCUGUUAUUACUUGGAACCAUUUAAAUCCUACCUUUUGAA